GGACCCCCCGAGAAGCUUCCCGAUGUUUGCUACUCUUGGUGGGUUCUUUCUAGCCUAAUUAUUAUUGAUAGAGUGCAUUGGAUAGACAAAGACAAGCUUGCUAGAUUCAUUCUAGAUUGUCAGGAUAAAGAGAAUGUCUACCAUACAUAUUUUGGUGUCGCAGGUCUUUCACUUCUCGAGUAUCCUGGAAUAAAAGCGAUAGAUCCAGCAUAUGCUUUGCCUGUUGAUGUUGUAAAUAGGAUCUUCUUCAACAAAAAGGACUCAUCAGCCUAACAAGCAAACCCUGUAUUUACAACUUCCAAUCCAAUCGAUGCUCUUUUUCUUUUUUAAAGGGAAAUCAAGUAGGAUUUUCAAUUUUAUCUAGCUUAGUAUUGUUUACCAGUUCAGGUUUAGAUGACUCGAACUAAUGGAAGCUGUAUGUUUCCAGUCACAAAAAUCAACAAGUCAAUAAUCCUACAUCUCUAUGCUUUCCCCUUUCUUCUUUCACUGAGGUUGGAUCUUGUAGUUGUGGUACAACAAAACAGGCAUUACUAAUACUGGCUCAUCAGAAAUUGAUUAAGUUGAUAAUCUAACAGUAAGCUUGUGUCAGAAUGA